rnacentral:rRNA from 1 species
AAUGAACGCUGGCGGCAGGCCUAACACAUGCAAGUCGAGCGAGCAUUUCGGUGCUAGCGGCGGACGGGUGAGUAACGCGUGGGAACGUGCCCUUUUCUGCGGAAUAGUCCUGGGAAACUGGGGGUAAUACCGCAUACGCCCUUUUGGGGAAAGAUUUAUCGGAGAAGGAUCGGCCCGCGUUGGAUUAGGUAGUUGGUGGGGUAAUGGCCCACCAAGCCGACGAUCCAUAGCUGGUUUGAGAGGAUGAUCAGCCACACUGGGACUGAGACACGGCCCAGACUCCUACGGGAGGCAGCAGUGGGGAAUCUUAGACAAUGGGGGCAAACCUGAUCUAGCCAUGCCGCGUGAGUGAUGAAGGCCUUAGGGUUGUAAAGCUCUUUCAGCUGGGAAGAUAAUGACGGUACCAGCAGAAGAAGCCCCGGCUAACUCCGUG